AACUUUUCACUCCCUAUCAGUAAAUAUCUAGAAUGAUUCACAUUUUGCAAAAAUACACCAUAUAAUUAUUAACACAGAUCACCUCAUUUAUUAAAGAUGCAUACUCAACAAUUAAACAAUACAAGAAUCAUCAUCGCAACAUUGUACAAAGUGUUAAAUUUUACAAUUUUGUUUGGCAUUACAAGACAUGUAUGGUUAAGAAAGGAAGAAAAAUUCCACAGCUAAAAUUUCAAAAGCA
rnacentral:misc_RNA from 1 species